AUUGAACGCUGGCGGCAUGCUUUACACAUGCAAGUCGAACGGUAACAGGCCUUCGGGUGCUGACGAGUGGCGCACGGGUGAGUAAUGCAUCGGAACGUACCCAGAGGUGGGGGAUAACGCAGCGAAAGCUGUGCUAAUACCGCAUGUGAUCUGAGGAUGAAAGCGGGGGACCGAGCAGCAAUGUUUGGCCUCGCGCCUUUGGAGCGGCCGAUGUCGGAUUAGCUAGUUGGUGGGGUAAAGGCCUACCAAGGCGACGAUCCGUAGCUGGUCUGAGAGGACGACUAGCCACACUGGGACUGAGACACGGCCCAGACUCCUACGGGAGGCAGCAGUGGGGAAUUUUGGACAAUGGGCGCAAGCCUGAUCCAGCAAUGCCGCGUGCGGGAAGAAGGCCUUCGGGUUGUAAACCGCUUUUGGCAGGAACGAAACGGUGUCCGCUAAUACCGGGCGCUAAUGACGGUACCUGCAGAAUAAGCACCGGCUAACUACGUG
rnacentral:rRNA from 1 species